UGAAAGGAGGAGAAGAAGAGUAGAAAGGGGUAUCAUGAAAGAGUGGAAGGCUGAGAUCCUGAGACUGAGGGAGGCAGAGAGCCAGAGGGAGGCAGAGAGACAGAGAGAAGCAGAGAGACAGAGAGAAGCAGAGAGAGCCACAGAAGCAAUGGAGUACCAGAGAAAACUGCAGGAGAUCCACAGACUUAAACAACUGCUGGAUCUACUGAUGGUGGACCUACAACUGGCCCACGUAAGACAUGUCAUUGUUAUUAUUAAAAGGCAGUGUAUAUUUACCGAGCUGAAAAUGAAUAGUGGCAGACAGCGGUACGCUAACCUAAUGUUAACUUUUAUUCCUUUCCUUAACCCUUACCUUAACCUCACUGAAACUAUACCUAACCUUUACCUUAACC
ensembl:lncRNA